AUUGAACGCUGGCGGCAGGCCUAACACAUGCAAGUCGAGCGGAUGAAGGGAGCUUGCUCCUGGAUUCAGCGGCGGACGGGUGAGUAAUGCCUAGGAAUCUGCCUGGUAGUGGGGGAUAACGUCCGGAAACGGGCGCUAAUACCGCAUACGUCCUGAGGGAGAAAGUGGGGGAUCUUCGGACCUCACGCUAUCAGAUGAGCCUAGGUCGGAUUAGCUAGUUGGUGGGGUAAAGGCCUACCAAGGCGACGAUCCGUAACUGGUCUGAGAGGAUGAUCAGUCACACUGGAACUGAGACACGGUCCAGACUCCGACGGGAGGCAGCAGUGGGGAAUAUUGGAAAAUGGGCGAAAGACUGAUCCAGCCAUGCCGCGUGUGUGAAGAAGGUCUUCGGAUUGUAAAGCACUUUAAGUUGGGAGGAAGGGCAGUAAGUUAAUAGCUUGCUGUUUUGACGUUACCAACAGAAUAAGCACCGGCUAACUUCGUG
rnacentral:rRNA from 1 species